rnacentral:rRNA from 1 species
GUCGAGAAUCUUUCACAAUGGGGGCAACCCUGAUGGAGCGACGCCGCGUGGAGGAUAAGGUCUUCGUAUUGUAAACUCCUGUCAUGCGUGAACAAGGUUGCUUGGAUAAUACCUGAGCAAAUUGAUGGUAGCGCAAGAGGAAGAGACGGCUAACUCUGUGCCAGCAGCCGCGGUAAUACAGAGGUCUCAAGCGUUGUUCGGAAUCACUGGGCGUAAAGGGUGCGUAGGUGGCGUGGCAAGUCAGAUGUGAAAGCCCGGGGCUCAACCUCGGAACUGCAUCCGAUACUGCCAUGCUAGAGUACUGGAGGGGUGACUAGAAUUCUCGGUGUAGCAGUGAAAUGCGUAGAUAUCGAGAGGAAUACCAAAGGCGUAGGCAGGUCACUGGACAGUUACUGACACUGAGGCACGAAGGCCAGGGGAGCGAACGGGAUUAGAUACCCGGGUAGUCC